GAUGAAGAACGUAGCGAAAUGCGAUACUUGGUGUGAAUUGCAGAAUCCCGUGAACCAUCGAGUCUUUGAACGCAAGUUGCGCCCGAAGCCAUUAAGCCGAGGGCACGCCUGCCUGGGUGUCACACGUCGUUGCCCCCCCAUCUACUCCUUCGGGAUUGCGGGGGGCGGAUGAUGGCCUCCCGUGCGCCUCGUCGCGCGGUUGGCAUAAAUGCCAAGUCCUCGGCGACGCACGCCACGACAAUCGGUGGUUGCGAAACCUCGGUUGCCCGUCGUGUGCGGUCGUCGCGCAUCGAGGGCUCGAAAAAAUUGCCGGGCUCCGGCUCGGCUUUCAACGCGACCCCAGGUCAGGCGGGGUUACCCGCUGAAUUUAAGCAUAUCAAUAAGCGGAGGA
rnacentral:misc_RNA from 1 species